rnacentral:lncRNA from 1 species
CACCUAUAGAUGAUGAGAUAUAUGAUCAGGUGCUCGGUACGAGAUCUUGUUAUGUUAGGGGUCUAGGGUAUGGGAUCACUGCUCCCUCAUCCUCACGCUCAUCUAGGGCUGAUAUCCAUUCUGCGUACGAGACUCGACUGAUGGAGGUGCAGAGGCAGGCUGUCGAGAAUUGACAGCAAGCUGUCAUAGAUUGACAGCAGACUGAGCAUCGAGCUCAGGAGUUGCCUGUACGCAUCGACGAGUAUCAGCAGCUCCAGAUCUAGAUGAUGCGGAUGGCGCAUAUGGAGUAGACGAUACAGCUGAUAAGGCAGC